rnacentral:lncRNA from 1 species
UUUUUUUUUUUUUUUUUUUUUUUUUUUUUGUCUUUUUAGGGCCACACCCACAGCAUAUGGGGAUUCCCAAGCUAACAGUCACAUCAGAGCUAUAGCCGCUGGCCUAUGCCACAGCCACAGCAAUGUCAGGUCUGAGCUGUGUCUGCAACCUAUACCAUAGCUCACGAGCCACAUGGGAUCCUUAACCUGCUGAGUGAGUGAGUCCAGGGGUCAAACCUGCAUCCUCAUGGAUGCUAGUCAGAUUUGUUUCCGCUGAGCCACGAUGGGAACUCCCUGGAGGCUUCAUUCUGAUUUCUAAUCCUAAUUCUUUAAUUCUGGGCUGCAUUUGGAAGGACCGAAUUUUCAGAUUAUCUACAUAUUUUGAAACAUGUCAACUUGAUAAACAUGGCUUAAAUAACAUAAUAUAAAUAAAUAUAAUUUAAAAUGAACAAAUAAAUUUCCCCCAAACCUAUGGUAAUUAUACUACUCUGGCUCUUGCUCCCUGAAAUACAAGAAACAAAUCCAAUUUUAGAGGAUCAGGAACAAAUGUAUACAACAACUAAUAGAUACUAUUUAUUAGUCGAGUAUAAGAGAAAAUUAUACAUAUGACAAUAAUACAAAUCAUAGCUUAUUGGACAACAUGGAGGAAGGAAAAUCUAGAGUUAGUGCUCACUUUAUAAGAAUUUUAGAAAAACUCAAGUUUCCAAAUUUAGAGAUAAAUUAGAGAGAGAUAAUUUGGAUGACAAAAUAUUAUAACAUGUGAUGUAGAAUAUGUGAUACGUGUAAUACGUAACAUGUGCUUUAUGACAGAACUUAGCAGAGUUCUUUACAACACUAAACCACCUAAAUGAAGUAAAAUAUGAUUUCAAUUUCUAUAUGUCACUAUGUAUUUCUUCAGCAUUACAACAAUGGUUUAAAUAACAUAAUACACCUAAGUCAUUAUAUAAACUAUGGAUAGAACCCCUUGAAUAUCAGAUUCACAAUAAAAAUUCAAAUUUAUCCUUAAAUUACAUCAACUUUCAGUCAUACUGUGUUAUCUGCUUUCAGAAAAGAGACAUCUGAUUUUUUCCUCUCAGGUUGUAUAAUUCUUUUAAUUUUUUGGUUGCGCCCAUGGCCUACAAAAUUUCCAGGCCAGGGAUAGAACCUGUGCCACAGUUGUAACCAGAGUCAUAGCAGUGACAGUGCUGAAUCCUUAACCAAUUGAGCCAUGAGGGAACUCCUCAUAAUUUUUUAUAAUAGGUGAAAAAUAUGCACACACACAUGAUUUUGUUUUGUUUUGUUUCCAUUCAAGUUGAUGACUAAGUUUGCUAGAAGAUUAUCUUUUAGAGUAGAGAAAACAAGAUAACAAAAACAUCUAGAGACACAUAACUUACAGAAAUAGAAUUUAUGACAGUACAUUUUAACUUUAUAUGUAUGGGUGCUUGUGUACAUAAAUGCCUAGGUUCUGAACUGGUUAUAAUAUACUGAAGUCACUUUUGCUACAUUUUUUGAUUAUUUAUAUAAACAAAAACACCCUGAAAAAACAAAUCUUACUCACAGAAAAUACCAAUAUAUCGUUUAGAGCUGCAUCCUAAUGCAUUUAUUAAAAGAAAUGUUCAGGAGUUCCCGUCGUGGUGCAAGUGUUUUCUUUUGCCAUUCCAGGACUUCCCCCUCCUAAGAGCUAACAUUUAUUGUGCUCUUACUAUGUUGAGCCAGGACUCAGCUAAACCUAUUAACCCUCACAACAACCCCUUGUGAGACAGCCUAUUUUAUUCCUAUGAUACAGGUGAGAAAACUACUAGUAUACAGAAAGUAACUUUGUCAGGGCAAUAUUUGAGAGUUAAAGCUGGGAUUUCAUCACAGACUCCCCCGGACUUCAGAGCCCACACACCACUCAAUGUACCAUUUCUGCAGCCCAAUGACUGGCUUAAAGCACAAGGAAAUUUAGGCUUCGGGAAGUCUGGGUUCUCAUUCCUGCUUGUUUUUAUCAAGAUGGGAGAACCUUGCCUCUGUCACUAAGACUCAGUUUCCUCACCUAUAGAAAGGGGGGAGUUUAAUUCUUAUGUUUACUAUGGCCCCUUAUGACUCAUAUCUUGUCCAUUCCAUCAACUGCAUGAUACAUGGCAAUUGUAUCAAAUUCAGCUAAGAAAGGGAAGCAUUGCGUAUUCCUGAGAGCCAAAAAUCCAUUUGCAAAAAGGUAAAAAACAAAGAGCCAGCUCUAGAGAAGUGACAAAGGAGGUACAGAGCUGCCCACCACCUACUAAGAACCCAAAUGACCGUUCCUAUGCAUCUGUGUUGACUGAAUUUAUUUUCACUUUUGAAAACAGCUCAUUAUGGAAGCAGUUUAUAAAACUGCUGUUCAUCCUUUGUUUGGCCCUCUUGUGUUUUUUCCUUUAAUUCUUCUGCCAGUUAGAUAAACAAAGUUACUUUCCAGAGCUGCUCAAGCACAUCCUUCAGGUGUCUGAACAAGCAGAGGGAAGCCACUUUGUAGCUCAUUCUCUGAAGGUGAGCCCUCCUCCUCCCCAGCAGCCAAGGAAGAUACUAAACACACUGUAUCUCAGGGGAUGCAUUUGGGGGAAAUAUGAUUCCAAGAGAAAGCAGCCUUUGUUACACGGUAUGUUUCUUUCCAAUCACUCUAGGAUGAGAUCAGGAUUAUAAAUACUACACAAGCAACCCUCAGAAGGAGUGAGAGAGAGAGAGAGAGAGAGAGAGAGAGAGAGUGUGUGUGUGUGUGUGUGUGUGUGUGUGAAAAUUAAGCAUGUGUAGAAAAGGUUCUUUCUGCAAUGGAAAUCUCUUAUUUUUGCUAUUAAUUAAAGGUGAGGAGCCCUGCUUUCCAAACCACGACCUUGUUUUCAGGUCUGCUCCUACAUAGUCAACGUAACUCUCUUAGGUCUCAUCCCUCUGGAUCUCUGUUUCAUUAUCUACAAAAGGCGUAGCUAGACAAAAACGAUUUCUGAAGACCCUUGUAGUUCUAACAUCCAAUAAUUCUGAAUUUCGCUAAGGCCCCAUAAUUUAAAUUUAUGCUGCUAUCCCAGAUAUUGCCACAAACGUCUCUUUGGCUAAGGCAGUUUCAUAUAGCUCAGAAUUUCAUGCUCAAUGAAAAACAUAUGUGAAAACAACAACAACAACCCUUUAUUCCUUCCAAUUGAGUUUAAGGAUGAGAAACUCGAGCGUAGAUGGUUCUCUUGGGUAAUCUGCAGUAUGCCCACAUUGCCCUGCUUUGGAAUCCUCUCUUGGGUUAGAACCAGACCGGUUUUGAGAAGAAGUCAAUUGCCUGCCUACAUUUCAUCUGAGUUUGAUUUGAAUGAGAAAAUUGCAAAUAAAACCCAGAAAGAAUUUUUUUGUUAGAAGGCAACAAAUUACUAUAACUAAAAGGUUGUUUGGUCUCUGAAUCAACUUUAUUUCUUGUCUUUUUGCUCUUUUGAAAAUAAAAAAUCUCAUUUCCAGCUCAUAAAGUAGCAUUAGUUCUUAUUAUUCCAUACAUUAGAAGUCAACUGGUAAUUCAUACAAAUUAAAUUAGUGAUUUUGCAUUUAAUUUACUGAUGACAAACUAUAGGAUUCAGCAGUUUUGCUCUGAUAACCUUUAAAAUGUAUUAAUUUCAUCAGUGAUUUACACUGGGCUUUAUUUCCCACUGCUACAGCUUCAUUCUCCAAAGCAGAAAUGCCCCAUGGUUUUUCAAUUUGUUACCUAAUCAGUACAAUAUAUUCCUGCUUUUCUUGCUUUUAUAUUGUCUCCUAAAUUUGAGACUUCAAUAUUUGAAGAAAUUGCACCAAGAAAUCUCACAUGGCUUUUCUAUUUCUAUGAACCUUUAAGGGAAUAAACAGAGAAAAAUGGAUCCUUUGAACUAGGGGUGCUGCUUGCAAACACAGGAGUCUUAAGAUGAUCACAUUCAAAUGAAGUUUUUUUUUUUUUUCUAAAUCAUGAAAUGUGGACAUUUCAGAAAAUAUUUUCACAAAUCCACCUAAAGCUCCUAAUAUCAAUAUAUCAAAAUCUCUGGGAGUUAGACCAAUGACGCUUAUUGGAGUCCUGACAAGAAGUUUCCUGAGGUGAUUCAGAUGAGACAAAAGCUGCUCUCUGCUCCCUAAAGGACCUGUUCUGGCUCGGGACUGAGGCCGUAAAUUCCUUUCCCACUUCCAUUUCCAGGCCAGAGGACCCCAGAUACAAUGGGGGUAAUUCCAGAAUUCAGAAAACCUGGGGCUACAGAGAACUCCAGUUUCUUUAAACUAUUACAACCAUAUACUUUAUGUCUAGUUAAAUCUAUGGGGGAAAAAAAUGACCCUCCUUCAAAAUUGAAGAUGGGUUGGCUAAAGGCAGUGAAAUCCAACUAUAAAUUCAAAGUGCAAAUACGGCAUUUUUCCAAAUUCAAUACAACAAACAUACUUAUCUUACAGAAGAGAAAGAUGGCAAAGGGGAUCCAGGAACUACCAAAGCACCCAACACGCAUGCCUGGUGCUCCCUGCUGAGGUGUGGGACAUUUGGCUGGACUAAGGGGACUGGCAUGGGGCACAGAGAUUGGGAAGACAUGAAAGGGCACGGGAAGCUACGCUGAGAAAGUGGGAGGAGGUUUGGCCAUUUGAAUAGAGCUAUCCACGGACUAACAGACUUAGCGAGUUCAAUAAAAAAGAACCCUGCAGGGGAAUCCUUUGAGGGCUGCUCUAGGGGAACUUGUUUUGAAUGCAAAACUGAAGGCCAAAUACGAUCCCAUGAUCUACAGGACGGAAAUGGUACUCCAGCGCUGCAGUCUAAGUCACUUUAUCCUUUUGACCGCAUUGUCUUUUUAGGUCUACUCUUUGUCAUGUUUGAGCUCUUCUGACAUUGAAUCUGUGACGUAAAAAAUAAAUGACGCACCACACAUUUUAUCCGUAAAAAAUAAGACAUAACAGAAAACUACAAAAUAUUACCUCUAUAUUAUAAAUGUGUCUUUCAUCUAUACAUGUUCCUUAUCAAAGAGAGCUUCUUAGAAAGGUUUGUGUUUUCUUUUACACUGUUUGAUAAAGAAUUCUGUAGUUUUUCCUCUUAAAAGUUUAUUUUGAAAAAGACUCAGGCUUUAUUUGUUUGCUGAUGUUGUGUGACCUUAAAGGCAAACUUGGCUUACUAAAACUUUUUUGUUUUGUUUUGUCUUUUUUAAGGCCACACCUGCGGCAUAUGGAAGUUCCCAGGCGAGCGGUCAAACUGGAGCCUUAGCCACCGGCCUACACCACAACAGCCACAGCAACACAACACAGCAUCUGAGCACCAUCUAUGACCUAUGCCACGGCUUGUGGCAAUGCUGUAUCCUGAACCCGCCGAGCGAGCCAGGGAUUGAACCUGCAACCAUCUUCAUGGAUGCUAGUCAAGUUCUUAAUCUGAGCUCUGAUGGGAACUUCUAAAGCUUCUUUUUAAUAGUCAUGUUUUCUGGAUUGGUUGCUAUUCUGAAUGAAUAUUAGAAACCAUGCUGUUUCAUUUUUCCCUUUCCAAAUAAUAAUAACAAUCUCUUGAUUGGUAC